CAAAGGGUGAAUGAAACUAAAGAAAUGCUUGAUGCUUAGGCUGUCCCAAGUCUCCUUUAAUUGCAAAUUCACUGUUCAAUGGACUAAAUGCCGAGUAGUUAGAUGUUUCAUCUUGUCUCUGAUACAAGUGUAAUUUUUUGGGAUCUUUCUAUUUUAGGUUUUAUCAAAUGGAACAUACCUUUUGGUGACUUUCCAUUAUCAAAUGUAUCAAAUCUUGUCUCUGUUUUUCUUUCUUUUUUCCCUUAAAGAAUCCUCCAAUCUUUGUGAUUUACUCAUCUUUUGGGUUCCACUGUUGGUGAUCUUCCUUACCCUAGAUUAUUCAGAUAUCAAACCUUUGAGAUCCCUAUCUUGUCUGUCAAGUAUCUUGAGACUUCCAAACCAGGAAACAGGAUGACCCCACUUCUGUCCUUUAAAAUACAACAACAAAAUUACAACUGAGAGGCCAAACAACACUAUUUUGCUUAAUAUUUUUGAUGAACCAUACUAUUAUUAUUUACAAGACUUGCAAUAUGCACAUUAUUUGCUGAUGUAAGAAAAAUAGCAAAGAGGGCCAAUUGGUUCACUUCCAUGUUUUUUUCUUUCUUUCUUUCUUUCUUUUUAAUGUAAAGGCUAAUGGCUGGUUGCUUGAAAAUUUUCCUUAUUUGGUAAGUAUGUUUCUUUAGAUUUUCAAUGGUUGUGAGUGGUCCUGUUAUGACAUUGAUUAAUGGCCACUUACGCAUGGUUAUGAGAAAAUAUCCUUUUCUAACCGCUGGUAAUACACAGUGGGCAUGGUUAGUGAUACUUGUUUGCUGUUUCUCUUGCAUUCAUCUUAAUUAUGGCAUCAACCAUGAUCAUCCCAUAUUAUAGCGUUGGCUUUACCGUACAUAUUGAAGGUCAUAUUUUCCAUCAUAAGAGGAUCUAAAAAUCAGUUACGACAACUCUGAUCUCCAUUUUUUUGAGACCUAUACACCUUUUAAAAGCUCUGAUGCAUCACUAAUUGGGAUAUGAACUAUCAUGAGCACAAAGCAUGCUAGGACUAAAUUCAUAGAGAACACCUGAGCUGGACUCUUUAACUUUACAUCUACCCUCCACGUUCAUAUCCAUGUAAGGACCAAUCUGUUUUUAAAGAAGCAAAAUGGGUAUGUUUCG
rnacentral:lncRNA from 1 species